GGGUCCGUAGCUCAGCGGAAAGAGCAGCCGCGUCCUAAGCGGAGGGCCGCGCGUUCGAAUCGCGCCGGACCA
rnacentral:tRNA from 3 species